ACACGGCAGUGAACAAGGCG
rnacentral:misc_RNA from 1 species